CAGGAACACAUGAAAAUAAGCAGCUUAAUAUUAAAGAGUAAAUAUUAAAAUUAAUCAAUGCUAGGUUAAUCUACAACCGUAAAUUCCAACACAAAUAAUUUAGCCCAUUUUAUAUAUAUGAUAGAAAAGGAAAAUAUUCAUACAAUAUGUUGCAAAUAUGGCAAAAUAAUAGAGAAAAAACAAGAUUUAAAAAUAAAGCACUUUUCGAAGCUUGCAUUUGAAUUUCUCAAAUAUUUCUCCACUUCUUGAUUGAAUCUCCUUUGUGCUCUAGAUUUUGCUCCAAAUACACCAAGAAAUUACAAAGGAAGAAGGAAAGAAAAAGAAAAAGAAAAGAAAAGAAAAAAAAUGAAAGAAGCAGAAUACCCAAUAGAUGACUGAAUCGGCAGAAGACGG
rnacentral:lncRNA from 1 species